GACGAACGCUGGCGGCGUGCUUAACACAUGCAAGUCGAACGGAAAGGCCCUGCUUUUGUGGGGUGCUCGAGUGGCGAACGGGUGAGUAACACGUGAGUAACCUGCCCUUGACUUUGGGAUAACUUCAGGAAACUGGGGCAAAUACCGGAUAGGAGCUCCUGCUGCAUGGUGGGGGUGGGAAAGUUUCGGCGGUUGGGGAUGGACUCGCGGCUUAUCAGCUUGUUGGUGGGGUAGUGGCUUACCAAGGCUUUGACGGGUAGCCGGCCUGAGAGGGUGACCGGCCACAUUGGGACUGAGAUACGGCCCAGACUCCUACGGGAGGCAGCAGUGGGGAAUAUUGCACAAUGGGCGGAAGCCUGAUGCAGCAACGCCGCGUGCGGGAUGACGGCCUUCGGGUUGUAAACCGCUUUCGCCUGUGACGAAGCGUGAGUGACGGUAAUGGGUAAAGAAGCACCGGCUAACUACGUG
rnacentral:rRNA from 1 species